AGCCAACACCUGUAAGCCGCUCCUGCUGUCACAUACAGAAGGCAAAGACAUUUUAAUUUUUGGUGUCUGAAAGCUGAAGCCAGUGACAACUUUCAGCCGGUGGAAGCCUUCCCCAGCACAUGACUUCAGUGACCUUAACACACCAGUUUUCUGAGAGGACGUCCACCUUCCAUGCACUAUGAUCACCUAGAAGAGACUGUUUCUUCAUAGAUUAUUGGGAAGAUUUUCAGGUGUGUCCUCAAAGGCAGACAAACAUAAUGACCUGAAAAAAGAGGGCAAGAAAUCAGAUGAGAUUUCUUAGCUGCUUUGAGAGCAGUCAGCUAAGCAGAUCUUCGGAAGGGCUAUGGGUCUUCCUUAGUGUUGAAGCAUAAAGUUAAAACUGUAAUCCUGGGACUGGCAGAGGGGACGGUAGAAAAAGAGAAGCCAGCUCUCAGUGAGAGAUAUGCUGUUACUUUUGAAGCAUAUUAAUCUUGUAUCCUGUGGUCUUGCUUUACAGCAAAUAGGGCAAUCAUCAUCACCACCAUUAAUACGGGAUGCACUUUCUUUCAGGCAGAUGCCACCAUGGGCUGGAUUAGUGACAAUGCCUGAAUCUGUCGUUUUUUGCGGUUUACUAAUAAUUUUUAAAACUACAUGAUUGACUCUGAUAUAUGGGGGAGUGUUAGACAUAAACACUGCACUGAGCCCAGGAUUGCCUUCACACUGCGAGCAGAGAUGUGGGAAGAGAGAGAGAGAGAUAAACCCUUGGUAUAUGAAUCCUCUCUGAAUUACAGCGCCUGCAGCCCUGUCAGGGCCUAACAGAAUGUGAACCAUGCCCUAGUCUCUGAGUCUGCAAUGUCCCAUCCCAAACGCUGCAGAUGAGUUUAAUCACAGAGAGGCCUGGAGCGCUUUCCACAUUGGAAACAACCAGUCUCUGUGACUGAAACGAAAGUGGAAAAUUCCCAGCACAGUUAAGCUCAGAGACCUUCCUCCACCCCAACCGCCCAGAAAGCAAGGGUUAUUCUAACCACACAUCUGGGCCACCACACUUAGAGCAACUUCGGGGAGGCUGCCGAGCUGCUUCGCUGUUGUAUAAGAGAAGCCACGCUUUAAGAGAAUGGCUAGCAGGCAGAAGGGGAAGCCCGACAGCUGUGUCUGCAGGAGCAAUGAGGACCAAGCCAUGCCGCAGUCCCUGCUAAAGCCUUGUUGGAGGGGUCAAAGGUGCCGGCACAGCAGCUUCAGUGGUGCAGAAGCACACAGCAUGCGACCACAUGCACAGAGCAGUGCACACUAAACACACGUACUCACAGAUAUGCACCAGGGCAGUCUGAGCCCCCUACCCCUGUCCCAUACACCCCUACACACGCACACACACUGCCCUGUGCACCCUUCUGCUCCCCAGGAGAGCAGUCUCCCAGGAAGGAGAGCAGUCUCUUUGGCCCAGUUGUGCCUUGCAAAGCAGGGGGAGACCUCUUACUAUUAUUUUUAAAUCACUUUGUGAAAAUAGAGGAUUUGAGGUUUGCAGUUUGGCUGUAAUUCAAUGCCGGGACAGGCACCUUUCAUUACCUGCCUGUUUCCUUCACCCCUGGAGGUGCUUUCCCAGGGCCAGAGAGCAAAUACCUACCACAGCUGGGGGGCAGAU